UGCAAGUCGAACGAUGAACCGCUUUCGGGCGGGGAUUAGUGGCGAACGGGUGAGUAACACGUGGGCAAUCUGCCCUGCACUCUGGGACAAGCCCUGGAAACGGGGUCUAAUACCGGAUAUGACUGUCCAUCGCAUGGUGGAUGGUGUAAAGCUCCGGCGGUGCAGGAUGAGCCCGCGGCCUAUCAGCUUGUUGGUGAGGUAGUGGCUCACCAAGGCGACGACGGGUAGCCGGCCUGAGAGGGCGACCGGCCACACUGGGACUGAGACACGGCCCAGACUCCUACGGGAGGCAGCAGUGGGGAAUAUUGCACAAUGGGCGAAAGCCUGAUGCAGCGACGCCGCGUGAGGGAUGACGGCCUUCGGGUUGUAAACCUCUUUCAGCAGGGAAGAAGCGAAAGUGACGGUACCUGCAGAAGAAGCGCCGGCUAACUACGUGCCAGCAGCCGCGGUAAUACGUAGGGCGCAAGCGUUGUCCGGAAUUAUUGGGCGUAAAGAGCUCGUAGGCGGCUUGUCACGUCGGUUGUGAAAGCCCGGGGCUUAACCCCGGGUCUGCAGUCGAUACGGGCAGGCUAGAGUUCGGUAGGGGAGAUCGGAAUUCCUGGUGUAGCGGUGAAAUGCGCAGAUAUCAGGAGGAACACCGGUGGCGAAGGCGGAUCUCUGGGCCGAUACUGACGCUGAGGAGCGAAAGCGUGGGGAGCGAACAGGAUUAGAUAC
rnacentral:rRNA from 1 species